rnacentral:rRNA from 1 species
UACGUAGGGCGCAAGCGUUGUCCGGAAUUAUUGGGCGUAAAGAGCUCGUAGGCGGCUUGUCGCGUCUGCCGUGAAAACCUGCAGCUUAACUGUGGGCUUGCGGUGGGUACGGGCUGGCUUGAGUGCAGUAGGGGAGACUGGAAUUCCUGGUGUAGCGGCGGAAUGCGCAGAUAUCAGGAGGAACACCGGUGGCGAAGGCGGGUCUCUGGGCUGUUACUGACGCUGAGGAGCGAAAGCAUGGGGAGCGAAC